rnacentral:lncRNA from 1 species
GGGGGGGGCUCUCUGAACGACCAAAUUUAUCUUUAAAAUUAAUUUGCAACCGAAUUCCCUUUAAGAUAUUUUGAACAAAAUACAAUGUAAUGCUCUUAAAAAAUUUAGGACUAAUUAAAGCGUCUUUUGGGCUGAAGUGUCUGUUUUAGUGCAACUAGAUGAAAAAGUCAGAUUUUCAAUCAUUUUAUGUGUUGGGCAACCCCUUAAUUAGGUCUUUCCACUUUUCUGUGGAAAGACCUAUUGUAUUUGUUCUGAUUAUUAUUAUUAUUAUUAUUAUUAUUAUUUUUUUUUUUUUUUUUUUUUCUUCCGCCAAAUUUUGUUCUUGCGAUAAAUGUUUGUUUCGCAAUAUGUCGCUUAGAUAUUUCUCAUAUGGUAUCGUAUAGUUUACGCGCUUUUAAAUUUCACCCUGCUAAGGCGAACCAUUUUCUUUGUAAGAGUUAUCUCCCCUUUCACUGUUUAUCAUCAGAGUGCAUCUCCUCCGUAACCGUAGAAAAAUGCGACAAAUUUAUUUUAUAAAAUUGCUCGUUAUAUCCUUCGCAUGAUUUGUCCUAUUUUAACCGAAGCGAUAUGAACACUCCUUAUGAGAGUUAUUCCCCCUUUUGCAUUUGAUAUUAGUAAUAUGCAUUUCUAACUGGUAAACCAUAGGUAAUAGAGAUCUAGGGUCUUUUGAUUUAAGGUCCUUGGUCCAAAAAAAUGAAAAUUAGGUCAAGGUCAAAGGUCAAGGUCAUAUUCUAAAUUUUGAUUUUGGCUUAUUUUCACUCAUUUUCAUUAACCUUAUCAGAUAUCGACAAAUUAUUUUUACUAAAUUGUUAGUUGCGACAUGUCGUAACAUAAUAAUUUUGGUUGAAAGGGUGCGUAGACAAUAAAUGGGAGUUUUAGCCCCUACCACAUCUAAAAUUAUGCGUAAAGUGAUAUUACUUAUUAACCAUACAUAUUAGAGACCUAGGGUCUUUUGAAUUGAGACCCUCAGUUUGUGACCUUGAAAUUGAGGUCAAGGUCAUAGGUAAAUUUUGCGUUUUAGAUUAUGACCUUUGGUUAAAAUUCAUAUCUAUACAUCAUAAAGCCAUAGGAACUGACAUUUUAGACUGAUUUUUAAUAUUUUAAUAUCAAAAUAGAUAUUUACUGGUGGAAAGACCUUCAAUUGUUCUCUGAACAAUUGGUUUUUAAUUUCUAUAUUUAUUG